rnacentral:rRNA from 1 species
UACGGAGGGAGCUAGCGUUGUUCGGAAUUACUGGGCGUAAAGCGCACGUAGGCGGUCUUUUCAAGUCGAGGGGUAGAAACGUCCCGGGGCUCAACCUCGGAACUCGCCCUUAGAAACUGGAAGGCUAGAAUCCUGGAGAGGCGAGUGGAAUUCCGAGUGUAGAGGUAGAAAUUUCGUAGAUAUUCGGAAAGAACACCAGUGGCGAAGGCGACUCGCUGGACAGGUAUUGACGCUGAGGUGCGAAAAGCGUGGGGGAGCAAAACAGGGAUUAGAUACCCCCA